GACACACGCCUGUAGUCCUAGCCACUAGGGAGGCUGAAAUGGGAGAACUGCUUGAACCCAGGAAGCAGAGGUUGCAGUGAGCUGAGAUCAUGCCAUUGCAUUCCAGCCUGGGCAACAGAGUGAGACUCCGUCUAAAAAAAAAAAAAAUAGAAAAAAAAAAAAAAAAACAGAGAGAAUGAGAGGAAGAGAAGGGAGGGAGGUAGAAAGGAAGAACGAACGAAAGGAGGGAGGCACAUAAUGGAGAAUACAAAAGAAUUCUACCCUCAAAAAUAUUAAAAUCGGUUGGAGACACUGAACAAGACAGCAAGACUUAAGGAUAUAUGCUGAGUAGCAUCUGAGUAGUGCUAGACAGCUUACCACAGAGAAAACCCACACAAGGGAAGCCAUCAGUGACUGUGACAAGGAGUGAAGGAGGACAACUGGGGAAUACAUCCUAGGAGGUAGGAAAAGCACUGAGCCUGCACUCUCAUCCUCCAGACACCAGUGACUUAUUGUGGCCCCCUUGGGGGCUUCAGUUUGCUCAACUUGAAAACAGAAGGCAAGGACUAGAUGGUCUGUAAUGUCUUUCAGCUAUAAUGAUACAGGAUUCUUAAGGACAAACGCAGAGAACUUGGGAAGGUGAGGAUGUUACAGGAAGAGGAAGGACAAGCACAAAGCCACAGAAGUAGGAAAUCACUAGUUAUGCAUAGGCAGAGUGUGUUGUGGGACAGCAAAGACCUUAAACAAGUCUGUUUUUAAAAAAAAAUUUUUUUUUGAGACGUUUAAAAUGGCCCCCAGGUUUAGUGCUGUCGUGUUCCUAAAUUCAAGAAGACUGUGAUGUGCCUUUUUGAGAAAAUGUUAGAUAAGCUUUGUUUGGGUGAGUUAGAGUGCUCCUAGCCAUGAAUUAACAAAUCACUGGGUGUGGUGGCUCACGCCUGUAAUCCCAGCACUUUGGGAGGCCGAGGCAGGCGGAUCACGAGGUCAGGAGAUCGAGACCAUCCCGGCUAACACGGUGAAACCCCAUCUCUACUAAAAAUACAAAAACUUAGCCAGGUGUAGUGGUGGGUGCCUGUAGUCCCAGCUACUUGGGAGGCUGAGACAGGAGAAUGGCACAAACCCAGGAAGUGGAGCUUGCAGUGAACCAAGAUUGCACCACUGCACUCCAGCCUGGG
rnacentral:lncRNA from 1 species